rnacentral:rRNA from 1 species
UACGAGGGGUGCAAGCGUUAUUCGGAGUUACUGGGCGUAAAGAGCGCGUAGGUGGUUUGUUAAGUUGAUUGUUAAAGACCCUGGCUCAACUGGGGAAAGGCAAGCAAUACUGGCGAACUAGAGGGCAAGAGAGAGAGGUGGAAUUCUCGGAGUAGCGGUAAAAUGCGUAGAUCUCGAGAGGAACAUCAGUUGCGAAGGCGGCUUCUUGGCUUGUUUCUGACACUGAUGCGCGAAAGCGUGGGGAGCAAACAGG